UCAAUCGAUGAUGUUAUAAUGGGGCGACGGAAGAGCAAACCUGAACAAGGUCGCAGUCGCAGAAGAGAGGCGCAAGAAAGAACAAAAUUGAUGAUCGUUGAGGCCUGAAACGAUGGCGUUUUGGAAAUUCUGCGAAUUGGGGCUUUUGGUGUUAGUUGGCGACCCAUAGGGUCCAUUAAUUGAGACGUCGUCGUUUUUUUUUGGAGCAUCGUCUUCUUCCAUCCCUUUCUCUUUUUUCAAAACGGAAGAGAGGAGAGAGGAGUGAGGAUCUGAGCUUUUGAACACAAUCGUGACGUUGAUGGUGCGGUGCCGUGAGUGACAUUCUUCUAAACCCCCGACCCUGUCUCUGAUUUUGGUAUUAAACCGAUCCGAUCAUCUACUGAGUUGUGAAUUCGUCUAGGGUGGUUUUUUGGAAGCGAAUCAUCAUCGCCCGCUCCUCCUUCGGAAUUUUCACGCCUCCUUAGACGGUUUGAUUUAUUUAACAUGUCCUUGUGUUGUUUUGGGAGGUGAAUCUUUGAUCCGAUCAUCAUCGUUCACCCUCUUCUUGGGUGUUUUGGGAGAGAGAGCGUCUAUGAACCGAUCCUUGCUCCCCCGCUUCUGAGUUUUCACUCAACACCCCCACCCCCCCUACGGUCUGCUACUAAGUCUGGGCUCCUUUGAUGCACAAGGCUCGACAUGUAUGUGGUUUAUUCAGAUAGUCCAAGCACCGAGAUUACAGUGUGGGAGGUUCCACGAGAAAGCAUUGUGGGAGUGCCUAUGCUUUCUGAANUU